rnacentral:rRNA from 1 species
AGCGUAGGUGGCCUAACAUGUCAACUGUGAAAACCCGGAACGCUCAACUCCGGACUUGCAGUUGAAACUGGUAGGCUUGAGGACGGUAGAGGAAGACGGAACUGCCAGUGUAGGGGUAAAAUCCUUAGAUAUUGGCAGGAACGCCGGUGACGAAGGUGGUUUUCUGGGCCGGUUCUGACACUGAUGCUCGAAAGCCAGGGGAGCGAACG